ensembl:snRNA U6 U6 spliceosomal RNA
CUGCUUGCUUCGGCAGCGCGUGUACUAAAAUUGGAACAAUACAGGGAAGGUUAGCAUGGCCCCUGCUCAAGGAUGGCACACAAAUUCGUAAAGCCUCCCCACCCCCG